GCUCUCCCCAGCUCGCUGGGGGCUGCAGCUGGCCUCUGUUCAGGCAGAUUUUCCUUGCAGGUUUUGGCAUCCCCAGGGCAGAGCUCCCCGGGGCUUUUCCCCGUCUCUGCUGGGAUGCCUGGGAACAGCCCUGGAGAAACAAGGGAAUGUUCCUUGGCAAAUAUCAGCUGCCAGGGGGUUUCAGAGGCUUACACCCACCAGACACCCCUGGCUCUGAGUUACAGCCUUGACUGCAGCUUUCUGACCAGUCCGUGACAUCCUAAAAACACACCUGGAGGAUUUUGGCUGGGUGAAAUUCUGCCAUCUUGUUAUCAGCAAUGACCUUGCCUUUGACUUUGGGAUUUACCUGACAGGAAUUUCGUGGUGUGAACCCAAAGUCUGAUAUCCCUUGACAGCUCCACGUGAAAUAUCCAGCUCUGCACGUAAAGCACAUGCCCACCCUUCUCCUGCUCACUUUGCCUGGCACCAUUGGGGGCUGCCAGGAUUCCAGCCAGCUUUCGCUUCACACCCGAAGACAAAACCAUUCCCCAGGUGCUCUGGAGUGUAACAGGAUCCCCUGGCUGUGACAAAAAAGGAGCAUUUCCUCUUGCAAAGGCUCCAGCUGUUCCUGCCAUAUCCCUCUGCAUCAGGACAACACACUGUGUUCUUGAAAGCAGCGCAGUCAGGUUGAGCCAAGGCUUGUCAUCCAGCUGGAAUUCAGCUGGAAUUCAGCUCCCUGCUCCUCAGCUGCAGUCCUGGGCCGAGAGAGGAAGGAGAAGAAGAAUAUUCCAAUGUCUGAGUGAGGCUGGGGCUCAGGAGGGCCGGGACAGCCCAGCUCCAGCCCAGGGUCCCGUUUGGGAGCUGCUCCCUGGCAGAGGAGGCUGCUGCCAGUUAAGAUUUGCCAUCACAGCCUCGGCACAAGUGGGAUCUCAGCUGCACUCAGG